AGUACGUGAAACUGCUUAGAGGUUAAGCCCGAUGAACCUGAAUAUCCAUUAUGGAAAAUUCAAUAUUAAAUUUGUUUAUAUAUAUCAUAUAAUAAAAAUAGUAUGCAAUUUUUCCAUAUAAGGACAUUGUAAUCUGUUAAUGAAAAUAAAUAUUUAUGAAAAGAUCCGUUUAACAUAAGCUUAUUCAAAUUGAAUUGUUUAUAAAAAUAAUUGAACAUAAAAUAAAUGUAUUGGAUUUAAUAAAUCAUUGACAGAUAUAAUUAUAUAAAGUGCUUAAAUUCUAUUUAUAGAAUUUUACAAUGAUAGAUAAAUCUAUUGAUUUAAUUUAUUUGAUUGUAUGCGCUUUUAUGAUUAACAAUGCUAUAGAUUCAGGAUACCUUCGGGACCCGUCUUGAAACACGGACCAAGGAGUCUAACAUAUGUGCAAGUCAUUGGGUAUUUUUAAUAAAACCCAAUGGCGUAAUUAACUUAACUUAAUAAAUAAAUAUGGGAUUAAUUUAUAUUUUGUCAUGAGGUAUUUAUUCAAUCCCGGGGCGUUCUAUAUAGUUAUGUAUAAUAAUAUUUUAUAUUAUUUAUACCUCUAACUAGAGCGUACCUUGAGC
rnacentral:rRNA from 1 species